ensembl:lncRNA
ACACUGUAGAGUCUUGAUCAGAGGGAUGGUAUGACUUGAUCAGCACUAACAGGUCACUCCAGCUGUUCUGUUCUAUGGCGAGACAAGGCUGGAAGCAGGAGGUCACUGAAAUAACCUGGAUCAGAAAAUCAACCAUGGACCAGAGACUGCAGUGGCCCAAGGACAGUGACGCAGUAAGUAGACACCAUCUUCCUAUGCCCAUAUUCAUCACACAGAGACCAUAGUUUAUGACAGACAUUUGGCUUUUUAUGGCAACUGCAAAUGCUUUGGGGAUAUUUACACUGUACAUAGUGAACUGUUUGAAUAUCCAAGGUUAUUUCCAUUAACAAGAUUGAUUUUUAAAAAGAAGGUUUAUAAGAAAAACCAUUUGUAACAGGGAAGGACAUGGCAGGACAAUGGGGAAAGCAAGAAUGAAUACGGCAUCGUAGACAGUUUUACCAAAGAUAUUCAACUGUAAAAGCAAAUGUUCAUUGUAGAAAAAUUUUGAUUGUAGAGAAAAAACAAAAUGAAGUAUCUGCACUCUCAUCAACAAAAGAAAAGCAGUGUUCAACAAUCCCUUAUUCCCUCAAUUUCUAAGGCAAUGCACACUAUAAAACUUGACAAUGUACGUUAAACUUUUGAAUAUUCUUUAGUUUAAAAUAUCUAAAUGAUGACAAUUGUUUUCAGUCUGCAGAGUAUGACAGCGGACAAUGAAAAAGAUGCUAAGACCUUUCAUGUUUGAAGUUCCUCAGAUACAUUUUGGAAAUGAAGUCUGGGUGAAGGGAGCUGUGGGGGAGUGUCUUUACCGACCUAUUAGCAUUCUACCAGCAGAAAUAUUUGAUCCUGCCUGCUCCAAGGGCUCCAGUACUGUGACUGGUGUCUUUGAUCUUGUAUCCUGUCCCAGCAUAUGGUGUUACUAAGCAUAAUCAAAGUGCAUAUCUUCAUAGAAAAUUACAGAGACUCUGAAAAGGGGGGAAUGGAUGCUUCCUUCCUCUAAUUUCCUUCUCUGCCAUGUUCUUGGUUUUAUGUAAAAAAAAAAAAAAAAAAAAAAGUUGGGUUUUUGAUGAAAUCUGCAAACACUUUUAGGGUAUUUACAAUAUACAUAGCCAAUUACUUAACUGUCCGAGAUUAUUUCCAUUAGUGAGAUUGAUAGGAUGUUCUGGGCAGCAUGGGUAAGGAAAUGCCUCCUUCUUUGGCUCUAGAGUGACAUUAC